AUGGAUGUAGCAAAUCCGGCGCCGAGCUUGCACAAGUUGCGAGAGGCAUGGAGGGAGGCUGCGGUCUGUGAAGGAGCAGAGCCGCGGCGGCUGGGGGUUGAAGAAAGAGGAAAGGAGAAGGGCAGUUUCGCGCGCGGGCCCACCCAUGAAAUGAGUGCUUUCGAACGUGCUCGUGAUGUAUUCUACAUCGUCGAGGGCGAGGAUGGCGACGAGGACGACGAAGGCGACGAGGACGACGACGUGGAUGUGGACGAGUCGGAUAGAAAGGUAGGGAAGGUGCUCUUAGAUGAUGAAAAGAAACCCGAUAUCACGAAACGACCACACACUCCUAUUGGAGAUGAGGUGGAAUGCAAGAAGCCAAAGAUAGCAGAAGGCUCAAGGUGCCAAGGAGAAGAACCUGAGGCUGGAGGGAUAAAGAAUUCCUCCUGCAAAUAUGCUCGUGCGGUUGCAACGGGAGAAAUAAUGUUCUUUUCCAUGUCUCUUAACUCAAAAAUCUGGAACAUAUGCCUUCAAUUGUGCAUCCUUCACUGUCCUGGCAACGCCCCCGUUGUGGUUUUCAGAUGUCAUACAGUCCAAGUGACGCAACGUGAUGGCGGUUUGGAUGCCGCUGGAGAUGCAUCAAGCAUGGGUCGAAGCAAAGAGCGGAUGAGGCUAAUGCUAGCAAGAGAGUUCUAUUAUCAGACCAGGUUCUGCGCGCAAAGCUAUUGUCAACAAAGGGAUGCCUCCGUGUCCCACGGGAACCUUGAGAAGCUUGUGCCGACUAUAUGGCAGCAACUUUAUUGGAAUGGUUUCCCUUCUAUAUUCAUCAGGUUCGAGUGGGAAGCUGCUAUUGACAAUGGAUGCAUGCAAAUACUGCAUGCAAAGGUAUUUUUGACGAAGGGAUGCCGAUGUGUCUCACAGGAAGCUCGAGAAGCUGGUGCCGACUAUAGGAUGUUGCAAGAUAUGCGCCAGACAAACAACAACCGGAUGCCGACAUGUCCGCGUAGAGUCUGCAACCAACGACAAAAUGCAUCAAGGCCAAAUUUGCAUUUUUCUGAAGUCAUCAACGUGUCAGAGUGGGAGUAUGGGGCACAUAUAAGUGUGUAUUCUGCAGGUGAGAAAAAUGACCUUUCAUCUUUACCGCCUCCAUUACCUCUAUCAGAUCUUCUUUUAUGGGCGGCGGCACUCGUCGGUCACUGUAUGAUCAUCGAUGGGUCGUCUAUCAGAUCUUCUUUUGUCAUCCCGCAUCUUUGGUUGGGCAUUAAGGACGCUUUUUUUGCAGGAGCACUAUGGAUGAUCUUCAAGGCUAUAUUGGCAUUUGACAAAUCCCACGAGAGCUCCUGUUCGGCGCCUGUUGCACCCGAACAGUUUCGGGGCGCACACUGCCGCGCCCUUUUGGGCCGGCCCAUGAAGGCUGAGCGCAGCAACCUUUAUAAUACCAAAAAAACCGCAAAAACAGUGUGUAUUCUACCUUUCAUCUUUACCGCCUCCAUUACCUCUAUCAGAUCUUCUUUUAUGGGCGGCGGCACUCAUUGGUCACUGUAUGAUCAUCGAUGGGUCGUCUAUCAGAUCUUCUUUUGUCAUCCCGCAUCUUUGGUUGUAAGAUUCAGUAGACUUUUGGAAGGGGCAUUAAGGACGCUUUUUUUUGCAGGAGCACUAUGGAUGAUCUUCAAGGCUAUAUUGGCAUUUGACAAACCCCACGAGAGCUCCUGUUCGGCGCCUGUUGCGCCCGAACAGUUUCGGGGCGCACACUGCCGCGCCCUGUUGGGCCGGCCCAUGAAGGCUGAGCGCAGCAACCUUUAUAAUACCAAAAAACCGCAAAAACAGAUAGGAGAGAAGGAUAGAUGGGCCGGCCCAGCGAGGAUGAGGGCCGAGGAGAUGCAUAUAGUGGGCAUUCACCUUGGUCGUCUCGAGGCGAGCCACCCCUUCUCGCCAGUGCCGGACAGCGGCACAAUGAUGAUCUGCUUCAUGGUGAUGAAAGAGGGUGAAGACCACCACCGCAAGGAGGCCAGCCGCUUGGAUGGGAAUCGACAGCGGGGUGGCGGCAAUGUUCGCUGGGUUUCAACAGUAAAGCUUGAUGGCUAUAGUAGAGGGAGAAGACUGGAUGCAAUCCACCUAGCCGCCGUCUCCUCUCUGCAAUCGGUCGCCGCCGUUCUCUACAGCGGGCCGCCGCCGCCCUCUGCAGUCCGGCUGCCGCCAGCUCCUGUCCCGUCUGGCCGCUGCUGUCCCCGUCUGGCCGCUGCUGUCCCCGGUCCGUCCGGCCCCUGCAUCGCCUGCCUUCUGCUUCUGCCAGGCUCGUCUAGCCGCCGCCGCCCCGGGCUCGUCUGGCCGUCGCCGCCCCUGGCUGUCUGGCCAUCGCCGCCCCUGGCUGUCCGGCCGCCGCCGCCCCUGGCCGUCCGACCGCCGCCGUCGUUCCCGGCCUGCCAGACCUCCGCCAUCCCAGCUUCCGGCUGCUGGCGGCCCGGCUCCUCCUUGCCUCUGCUCGCUGACUUCCUCAUGUCCUCUUCGGGCUAUGUCGCAGUCCCUCGGUGCUCGGUGAUCUUCGAUCGCACCAACUAUGCUGAGUUUGAGGGGUUCAUGCGUAUCCAUAUGCGCGGUCUUCUUCUGUGGGGCAUUCUCUCUGGCGAGGUCCCCUGUCCGCCAUGCCCUAUUGCUCCCGUGGCUCCUACCCCGCCGGUGCCGCUGGUUCUUGCCGCUGAUGCUUCUCAGGCUGAUCGAGAUGCAGCCAAGGCGCUCGAUGAUGCUGCAGUUGAUACUUAUGAUCAGCAGUUUGCUUUGGAGUUCAUGGGCCUCGGCAUAGUUGCAGCGAUGUGGUCUUAUCUCUGUCAGCGCUAUCAGCCCUCUGGUGAUGCUCUCUACUUAUUUGUGCGCCAGCUUGACUCUCUUCGGACAGUUAUUUGUGGAUCUUGCCGCUGCUGUCAGACCAUGCGGUCUGACUUGGAGUUUCAGCGUGUCCAUGAGUUCUUAUCUCGCCUCCGCUCCGAGUUUGAGCCUCGACGUGCUCACUUGAUUGCUCGUGGUCGUGUCCCUAUCUCGGAGGUACUUGCUCAGCUUCAUGCCGAGGAGACCCGCCUUCGUUCUACUGGAUUGCUUAUGCUCCCUUCUGUGUUGGCUGCCCGAGCUCCUGUGUCGUCUGCUCGUCUCACUGCGCCACCGCUCCUGCCCACACCUUCAAGGGGGUGGGUCGCCCUCCUUAUGUUGAGAAGGGUCGGUCACGCUGUGACACCUUCUGUGACUACUGCUCCAGGCUAG
rnacentral:rRNA from 1 species